UACGAAGGGGGCUAGCGUUGCUCGGAAUGACUGGGCGUAAAGGGCGCGUAGGCGGUUUAGACAGUCAGAUGUGAAAUUCCCGGGCUUAACCUGGGGGCUGCAUUUGAUACGUCUAGGCUUGAGUGAGGAAGAGGGUUGUGGAAUUCCCAGUGUAGAGGUGAAAUUCGUAGAUAUUGGGAAGAACACCGGUGGCGAAGGCGGCAACCUGGUCCUUUACUGACGCUGAGGCGCGAAAGCUAGGGGAGCGAACAGG
rnacentral:rRNA from 1 species